UCGUGAGGUUGUUGGGAUGAAGCAGCGCAUAGAUUUGGGUUUAUGGGGUGUGGUUGCCAAAUGCCUUAUGUUUGUAAGUGCUCAUGUGCGUUUAUCCGCGCCACUGUGUCUGUGCGCUUUUCCCCUACUUUUACUGACUGGUUGUACUUGUCCGAAUAUCUGCUUCUCACCGUUAGUCCAAAAAAGCUCAGCCUCCGCAAUGCUACCAUUGGCUCUGUCACAGCCCCAAGCGUUCUGACAUGUCGCUAACUCCUGUUUGGUUAAUUAAGUUUUCAAUCAGCAGACAGAGGGUGAUAAGACAUCGGAUUGAUAAUUCAUCGAAGCCCGUCCUCUAUUAUCGCACGAAUGGGAGGGACGCUGAGAUCUUUUCCUAAGCAUGUACAAUUUAUGAGAUGUUGUGGUUUCUGUAACGAAAUAUAAGUGAGCUCCCUAGAGAUCUGAAAAAGUCUUGAUUCCCGAGAUGUCUCUUUUUUAACUCCUGUAAUUAUUUCAACAUCAAUGGUUAAGGGUAGCUCAAGCUGCUUCGUUAUAACGACUGGAUUUAUAAAUUGUUUGAACAAAAUGACCUGGUUAAGGGGGAUUCUGUCGAAAUGUAAACCAAGUUUAUGGAGUUUCACAGCAAAAUCUCCUCCAUUCCUGUCCGAGGGAAGUUCUGUGCUCACUGCCAAAAGUUUAUCCAAAGCUGAAGCCAGAAAUCAUUCUAUUUUUUUCAAUAUAAGAAUUCGAUAAAUCAUUUUUCUUAAUGUUGCAACAUACAAGUUAAAAGAAUACCCAGGAUGGAUAUAAAAUGGCGAAAAUUGAGUCAAACUCCUGCCUCACUCGCUUACAAGGAACAAUUGAUUCUAAUAACGCUGCCUCUUUUUACUUGGAAUAAAUUCUGACUAUGGUAGACCGAUGACCUAAUUGUGGAAACUCUUGUCGAGAGGUUUAUUGAUCUGACAGAAUGAAGGACUUUAUUUAACAUCAGCAAAGAAGGAUGAAACACAUGCUGGAUACAGUUCUGUGAGCAUCAGUAUAUUUUGGCACCACAUCUAAGCAGCCAUACUUCAUUUCUAGCCAACCUCAUGGAGUGCAACAACAUCAGACAAACUCUCAGCUCCAAUCCCUGUGGUGAGAGAAUGGAACAUCUACAGGAGAUACACUUUGGAGUCGCAAAGAAACAGGAAUGGCUCCAAAAUGGCUGUAGUUCUCUUUGAAGCCAAAGGUGGUCCUUGCCUGGCACUCGUAAGAGUACUCUCCACCCCUGCAGUUCCUAUGAUGUUAUCUUACAUGUCCUACUGUGUGCAACAUUAUCAAUUUUAUAACAGUUGUUGAGGGAACCUUCUGCUAUUUAAGGAGUAUGGUCAUGAGAUUCUAUCAAACAUUUUAGAAGCACACAGCAUUAGUGAGAUAAUUAGUGGACAAGGAACUGAGAAACUAUACUUUGAAACUUCAUUAGUUGUGUGACAUAUUCAUAAAUUGCCUGUUUUCAAAAGCAAAGCAGCUCUCCCCAUCUCAGUUCAGCAAUAUUUAAAAUCAUCUUCACAUUGCAUGAAAAUAAAAGUGAGCAGCAUGUGCGGCUAUUAAGCAAGAUAAUGUAUGGUCUAUUAUAUUUCCGUGAUGUAUGACAGUCAAGAAGAACAUGCCAUCAGUCAUGGCCGCACAUUUUAAUUGAUUAUAAAUGGCAUGACAAUUUGUGAAACUUCUGGCCCUUCACUCUCUGUCAUUUAGAUCAAGAGUUUCAAAAUUUUUUCUAAUGUAUUGCAUUUGAUCUGGAGGCAUAACUUUGUCAUUCUGACUUGUUAAGGGGAAGAAAAAAAGGAACAGCUGGCUUGGUCAUCAUUAUGUACAAAGUAGGCAGUUUUGUAAAUUAAUAUAAAGGGAGUAGCUAUCACCCGAAAGCACUUAAACUGACCAGGAUGCAAAAAAAAUGUGUUGGAUGAACACAGGACCUAUUGUGGUGACACAUUUUUUUAUUAAAGUAUAUCUUAGGAACAACUUCAGCAGUCGGGAUUAAUGCAAAAUUAUUUCCAUCUCAAUUGCCAUGUUUACCCUUCCCUGUCUCCAUCAUUAAUGCCUUGCUGUUAGCCAAGUUCCCCUUAAUUCAGCCCUUUAAGUAAUCAGUGGCUAAAAUUUUUUUAAAAUGCUGUACUUAAAGUGAUGAAUUUCCAGUGGAAGUGGUAAAUUUGAAAAGUAGGUCAGCGAGCAACAUUCACAGGCCCACUAGGAGUUAAAUUCUUGAAGUUGCAUUUUUGUAGAAUUUGCCAAAUGAUUAUUUAAAUGAUGAGAUUUCAGUGAAUGUUACAAAUCUAAUUAUAAUAUUACAACAUAGGAGAUUUACAUUAGUUGGAAAACUAACUAAUGAAUCUCUAGUUUGUGAAAUUUAAAUAUUGCUCUCAUAAAAAGAUUACUGUAUUGCCAGAUAUUCAGAGACCUCAUAAAUUCAAUGCAUUUGUGAAGGGAAAAAAAGAAACACUGCUUGCUUGAAUUCCUUUAAGUACGAAAAGCUAUGCUUAAAAGAAAAGCGUCAGCACUCACUGUAUUAAAGUAACUCACAUUCAGUCUGCUUUUAUUUAAAGACCAUGUGCUGUCCCAAAUUUCUGGUAUACAACUUAAAAAAAGUAUCAAACUGCAUUUAUGUUAAUGUUUCAAUAAAUUCAAAUUCUGAAUUAAAACUUUGAAUAUAUAAGUAUUGAAACAGCUGCCUUUAUAUGAUAGAUGACUCAAAUAAGUACCUCUAAAAAUUGUGGUUUGUCUGUCAUUGGACUGUGAAUAAUUCCUAUGUCUACUACUUUUAUACCACCAGAGAAAUCUGUCCACCAUUAGUCUGCUCAGAGUUUAGUCACAUCCAUUAAUGUCUGGAAUGGUAUGUUAUUAUUAGGUUACCAGGUGUUGGAUUCACACCACGACAAGACUGUUAGUGAUCACACCAGGAGUGGGCUGAUGCCAUCGCUAAGCAAAAGGACUGCUAACCCAGCACUCUUCAUCUCCUCGAGGGCAAUCAAGACUCUUAAUAAUUGAAUUAAAGCUGACAAAGUAUUGAAGCAAUGCACAGAAAAGGUCCUCUUAAAUCGCAGCUUGUUCAGUGUUGGGAACAUUAGUGAUUUGUAGCUACUAACCACUAGUCCACAGUCAGUCUGAGUAGCACGUACAUGUCAAAGGUCACAUUUACCCAAUAAAGUGCCUUAUAAAAGAAUUUUACCAGUCAUUUACUUCAAAACAUUUCACUUUAGGUUCCCUGCUGGCCCAGUGGGUAAAUAAAUUGUGUGAUGUGAUAUUGAAGCAUGCAGAUCAGGGUGGCUCCAGUUUUUAUCCCUGUUCUGUGCUGACCUGACAAAUCUGACUUGCUAUAGGGAAGCAAUGUGAAUUUCAGUCACUGGAUUAGAGAGGGGAUAAUCAGCAGAGCUCCUAUUCCUGAUCACUAUCAUAUGACUCCAGUUGGAAUGUAUGCAUUUGGAUGCCAGGUGAGUAUGGGAUUAGGCUCCACUGUGAUCUCUAUCAUAUAUAAAUGGUUUGCAAAUACUUAAUUUUGAUUUGGAGUAACUGUUGAACCCUCUAUGCUUUGUGCCCAUUACUUCCAUCAUUAAUAUUUUACAAAUGUUUACACAAACUGUGUUAGAAAACUCGGUAAAUCGCUUCAAAAGGUAGUUUGACUUACCAAUAAUGCACAUGAAACAGAAGCCAAAAUUAUUUUAGUUCCUGAAGAUUGGUCUAUGGCCAAACCUCUUAAUUGUUGCACAUGAAAAUAAACAAAAAAGAAUCAAACAAAAAAAGUGUAAUUUGUGUUAACAAGUCUAUGAUCAGAUUGUUCACAAUUUAUCAUGUUGUGCACUUUACCAAAAUUGAGUCAAUAUUAGAGUAAGGUGAAUGUUUAGCCAAUAUUUUUUGGAUUUUCUGCUUCUGUUAUGUCAGCAUCACAGACUAACAUCUGUAUUCCACCAAUUUUUUAUGAAUGUGGUUUAACAAUGUGAUAAUGACCAAGUAAUCUGUUUGCGUGAUGUUGACUGAGUGAUAUAAAUCGCUAGGACAGCAGGAAUAACUCUCCUACUCAUAUACCAAUAUUGCCAUGGGAUUACUUACAUCCACCUAUACAGGAGAUGGGAACCUCAGCGUACUGUAUUUUCUGAAAGACAGCACCCCUCUGACAGUCUAAUGUUCCCUUCGUACUGCACUGGAGUGUCAGCCUUGAUGUUUCAUUCUCAAACCCUAGACUGGGAUUUGAACACAGAUCCUUGUAUUGAGAGGCAGAAGGGCUGGCAAUAGAUGACAUUAUUAUCGACCCUGAAUGAAUUAAGUAAAACUGGCCACAUUUCAUAGAUACCAUAACCAUUGUUUGAAAUUGGAUGCUAUGGGAUCUAUAACUUGCAAAUUUGUGUGUGUUCUUCUGUCUUCCACACCUCUUCUUAACUGGCUAUAAUAGUUUUACUUCUAAGGAACUAAUUGACAUAAUAUUGGAUAUAUGAUAAUCUAUUCACUAUUAAUAGCAAUACUGUAAAUUGCUUCUCAGUUAUAUGCUUAUAAUUUAGAAAUCCUCCUACAAUAUUUCAAAAGUGGAUGAGUUAUGAAGGAUUAAAAAUGACUUGUUUUGACUAAAAUUAAAUGUCCUCUACCUAAAUCCUGUACUCGAUCGGCUUUGUCGUAACAGCUUACAAUUGACUGUACUUUCAGUGAAUGGUCAAUAAUCACAAAAAAAUCCUAUUGCUAAUUCAUUGCACAGUUUUUGUAAAAUUGUUUUGAUUAAGUCCUAGUUUGGUUGGCUCCUGAAAUCUCUCUGAAAUUUUAUGACACCACCCCUCUAAGAAGUGAUACUUGUACAUAUCCCAUUAGGGUUGGUUUGCCCAGAUAUAUAAUUAGAUUGUGACUUAUACCCCAUUGAUCUGAUUCACUUCAAACCUGUUUUGGUGAUUUAAACCCUUCCAGAUUUUUUAUGAUGUUGCCCCUUUAGAGAGAAGAACUUAUACAUAUCUUAAUGGGAGUGAAAGUAAUCUACAGACCUGCUGAUUGCCUAACAUGUUCGUUGUUUGUAGUAUGCUGUUUGUGACCAGCAGGCACCACAUGGUAUUUGCAUGCUAAAUUUUGCUGAUGUGACCCUGUUGAAAUGAUUCUGUUGUUAUAGAUUGUUCAGGACAUGAAAUGGUUUUGGCAAAAUUGAAGUCAACAUAAAAACUAUAUUUGGCAACAUAUUAAAUCAGUUGCUGAUUUGCUGUCACCCAGUUUGCACGACCACACAAGAUCAAUUUUUAAAAAUUAUUAUUCAUUCAUAGAGCGUUAGCUUGGUUCACUGGAGCAGCAGGGCAGCAUGGUGGCUCAGUGUUUCACUGCCAGGGACCCGGGUUCGAUUCUAGCCUUGAGCAACUCUGUGUGUAGAGUUUACACAUUCACCCUGUGUCUGCGUGGGUUUCCUCUGGGUGCUCUGGUUUCCACAGUCCAAAGAUGUGCAAGUUAAGUGGAUUGGCCAUGCUCAAUUACUGUUAGUGUCCAUAGAUGUGCAGGCUAGGUGGAUUAACCAUGGGAAAUGUAGGGUUAUAGGAAAAGGGUAAGGGUGGAUCUCAGUGGGAUGGUCUUCACAAGAGCAGUGUGGGGGCUGAAUGACCUGCUUCCACAGUGUAGCAUUUCUAUGAUUUAUUACCCAUCCUUAGUUGCUGUUAAGAAGGGAGUUUCAGAAUUUUAACCCAGCAACAGUGAAGGAAUGGCAAUAUAUUUCUAAGUCUGGAUGGUGUGUGGCUUGGAGGGGAACUAGCAGGUGAUGGUGGUGUUCCCAUAUACCUUUGUCCUUCUAGAUGGUGCCGAUUAUGAACUUAGUGAGUCUUCGUGGGUUGUGGCAGUGUGUCUUAUAGAUGGUACAUACUUCUGCUACUGAGACUUGGUGACAGAAGAACAUUUGUGACUGUUUGUGUGUGUGGUAUCAAUCAAUUGGACUGCUUUAUUCAGGAUAGGUGUAAUGUUUUGAGUAAUGUUUGAGCCAGAAUCAUCCAGGCAAGUGGGGGCUGUUCCAUUAUAUUCUGAAUGUGUGCCUUGUAGGUUGUGGACGUCUUUGAGGAGUCAGGAUUUAUGCAGUGCAGGAUUUCUCACCUUUGAGCUGCUUUUGUAACCGUACUACUUGUAUAUCUCAUCCAAUUCAGUUUAUGAUCAAUGAUAACCCCAAGUUGGUGAUAUUCAAGGAUUCAGCAAUGGUAAUAUUGUUGAAUGCCAAGGAGAAUAACAUUUAAAUUUCAAACCCUCUUUGAUGAAGCUAGUUUUGGUAGCCCAUGCUUCCUGACAUGUAAAUAAUGAAUGUGUUAGUUCCAAUUGGUGAGGUUUCAGCUUAACCACUUAUCUUUCUCAAAAAGGGACUUUACAUGUUGUCACUUGUUGAAUUCAAUUCAGGUUGAUUUCAGCCCAAUCCACAAACAAUAUUUCCUUACUUAUGUUGACCUUUUCUGCUGUGACGGGUGCUUCAUCUUUAAAUUUUAAGGGUGUCAUCACUCAUUCUUCUAGGGAGGCACAUUCUGAUGCGAAUAGGCUUAUUCCACUCUCUAGGUUCUCACUGCUCUUUCUUAAAAUCCUUAGAAGGCUGGAUACCUUUUGCGCCUGGAGUGCACUGUUUGAUCUUUUACCUUUUAAAUUGAUUUUGUUUUUAUUUUAAUAACUUUUUGUUUAAAAAGUUUGUAUUGAGCACCUCUGUCUGAGAUAUUACUGCUGUUGUCCUCCUAAGUGAUGGAGUUGAACCGUUCUAAUUUCAUAUUCCCAUCAGCCUGUCUCAAGACAUGACCUUUUCAUUCUGUGAAUAUUGUAUUUCUGUUUCUCUGUCCAUUUCCUUCAAACAUGUUUUACCUUAAGCUGUACUGAGCAACAAUAACAACUUGCAUUUACAGCUUACCUUUCAUAUCGUGAAAUAUCCCAAGAUGUUUCAGCAGAGCCUUUCUAGAUAAAAUUUGAUGCUGAGAACCUUGAGGGGAUAUUAGGACAGGUGAUUAAAAACUUGCUCAAAGAGACAGAUUUGAGAAAUGGAGAGAUGGAUAAGUUUUGUGCGAUAUUUCAGAGUUUAGAGCAAUGUUUUCUAAACUUCUCUGAUGUGAUCCAAUUUUAAUGGCUCAGACUUUAUGUGACCACUGGGAGGGUGUUCGUUUUAGCACUUGAGCGUUUGUCGGGGGUUUAGCUCCUGAGUGCUGUGAGGGGAGGAAGCUAUUUUACCUUCUUAUCUGGCAGACAGUCAGCAUGGUGGGAAUUGUUUAAAUUGUUGAAUUUAUUUUAAAAGAAAACAAUCUCUCGGCAGACAUUUUUUUGCAGGAGCAAUCUGGUUUCAAAAAACCUAUUCGGCCACACUCACCAUGAGGAAAAAGAUGCUAAAAUUUAAAAGGAUUUUGCAGUUAUUAGUAUUCGUUCCAACUCCAUAAAAGCCAUUGUUGCUUUGGAGCUCAGAACCCCAAAUUCCCAUCUCCCGUAUCACCCGGGACACAACCCACAGUUUGGGAAGCUUCAAUUUACAGCCUAAGCAUCUUUGAAGGAGAAAAUGGGAGUGCAUGAAGGCAAAAUUCAAAGGGCAUAGGAUUCUCAAAGGUCUUUACAAUGUUAGGAUGACCAAAGCUAAUUGAGAGUACAAGCUAAAUACUUCCACAACUCAAUUUUAUUGUUUCCUUGGGUUUAUAAAUAAAGGCAUAGAGUAAGGCAACGAAAUGAUGCUAUAUCUCCACAAAUCAUUGGUCACACCACAUUUGGAAUAUUGCGUUCAUUUCUGGGUUCCUUAUUUAAGGAAGAAUAUUAAAGCCCUGGUGAGAGUGCAAAGAAGAUUUACAAGAAUGAUGCUAGGAAUGAGGGAUUUUAGAUGCAAGGAAGGAUGAGAGAAAUUGUCUUAUUGUCCUCAGAACAGAGAAGAUUAAGAAGGUGGCCUUACUGCAGUGUUCAAAAUUAUGAACAAUUUUGACUGCACAAAGAAGAAUAUGCUGUUUCCACUAGUUGGUAUCUCAGUAACUAAUGGUCACAAUUUCAAAUCUGUCAGUGAGAAAGCUAGGAGUGAGUUGAGGAGAAACUUCCUUACUCAGAGAAUUGUUAGGAUUUGAAAUGUGCUGCUUGGAAGAGAGGUGGAGAUGAAUUCUACAAGAGAUUUCAAAAAGGAUGGCUAUAUAUUUUAAAGUGAUGAAUUUGGAGGGUGACAGAGAUAGGGCUGGAGAAUGGCAAGAGUUGGGUAGCUCUUUCGGGAGGUGAUACAGAUAUGAUAGGCUGAAUGGCCUCCUUUUGUACUGUAAAACUCUAUGAUUCUAUGAUUCUAAUUUCCCAAUUUACACUUGCAGCUACAGCAAAGCUGUCAGAACUAAAGCCUCACACAUAUUAUUUCUAUAGCUCAUGAAUUACAGAGGUUCUGAGCAGUAUCAGCUCAAUGAGUUCUUCUUAUAAGUGGUCUAUCUAUGUAGAAGAGGUCAGUUGUUUCUGCUACAAAUGGAGGAGAAGCAAUUCUAGAGUGCAUAAAACAAAACAGUAAUACUUGAAAAUGAAUGCACUGGCUAUUCUGGAACUCCAGUUUAAGAGGUACAAGAUGAGUCUGAUCAUUGUGUAUCAUUCAGAAGCUUUACUGUUUUGUUUCCUUCUGUGCAGGUAACUGCUCAGCCUUCAGCAUCUGGUUGCUGUGGUAGGGCCAGAGGCUUAGCAGUAGAGUCCCAGCUUUGCAUCUGUAUAAUAUAGCAAAACGUGGAUAAUAAAAAUGAAUGCUAGAAAACAUAAAUUAACUUACCCGUCCAGCCAUCUGUCAAAUAAGGUAUUUACUGCUGUGGCUAUUUGAAAUACUUGUGAAUAUUGUAAAGAUUAUUGUCAUUUAAAGAAUAAGCAAUAUCUUAACA